GAUGAACGCUGGCGGCGUGCCUAAUACAUGCAAGUCGAGCGAACGGACGAGAAGCUUGCUUCUCUGAUGUUAGCGGCGGACGGGUGAGUAACACGUGGAUAACCUACCUAUAAGACUGGGAUAACUUCGGGAAACCGGAGCUAAUACCGGAUAAUAUUUUGAACCGCAUGGUUCAAAAGUGAAAGACGGUCUUGCUGUCACUUAUAGAUGGAUCCGCGCUGCAUUAGCUAGUUGGUAAGGUAACGGCUUACCAAGGCAACGAUGCAUAACCGACCUGAGAGGGUGAUCGGCCACACUGGAACUGAGACACGGUCCAGACUCCUACGGGAGGCAGCAGUAGGGAAUCUUCCGCAAUGGGCGAAAGCCUGACGGAGCAACGCGGCGUGAGUGAUGACGGUCUUCGGAUCGUAAAACUCUGUUAUUAGGGAAGAACAUAUGUGUAAGUAACUGUGCACAUAUUGACGGUACCUAAUCAGAAAGCCACGGCUAACUACGUG
rnacentral:rRNA from 1 species